rnacentral:rRNA from 1 species
CAGCAGCCGCGGUAACACCGGCGGCUCGAGUGGUAACCGUUAUUAUUGGGUCUAAAGGGUCUGUAGCCGGCCGGAUAAGUCUCUUGAGAAAUCCAGCAGCUCAACUGUUGGGCUUUCAGGAGAUACUGUCUGGCUCGAGGCCGGGAGAGGUGAGAGGUACUUCAGGGGUAGGGGUGAAAUCUUGUAAUCCUUGAAGGACCACCAGUGGCGAAGGCGUCUCACCAGAACGGACCUGACGGCAAGGGACGAAAGCUAGGGGCACGAACCGGAUUAGAUACCCGGGUAGUCCUAGCCGUAAACGAUACUCGCUAGGUGUCGGCCACGGUGCGACCGUUGUCGGUGCCGUAGGGAAGCCGUGAAGCGAGCCACCUGGGAAGUACGGCCGCAAGGCUGAAACUUAAAGGAAUUGGCGGGGGAGCACCACAACGGGUGGAGCUUGCGGUUUAAUUGGAUUCAACGCCGGAAAUCUUACCGGGACCGACAGCAAUAUGAAGGCCAGGCUGAAGACUUUGCCGGAUUAGCUGAGAGGAGGUGCAUGGCC